GGGAAAUCAUUUUCAGAGUUAAUGACACUAAACAGUACCAGACACCCUAUUUGCUUCAGAACAGUUCUAUAUGCACACAAAGACAAACAAUGUUUUAGGGAGUUCGAAUAUUAAGAGGUGACAAGCAGCAAUGCAGGACACAGCCUUAUGUUCCAGCUAAGUCUAAAGACCACUCAUAUAACGCAUUCAAUAUGAUCAGGGUUCAAAAGAAAUAUAACCAAAUCAAUAAAUUGGCUCAAUCAACAUCACCACAAGCAUAAAUUUCUAACUUAAGUCAUCAUCACUAAUUUUCAUUAAGUUGGCUUUCACAUUGAGCCGGAACGAACAAUCAAUAGACACUUUCUAAAGACUGUCUAUAAGCAUCAAAGCGAACUGGCAUAAAGUGUAUUGAUCCUACAAACUUAGCACGUAAUGAUUUGACAAGAUUGUGCACAGCAGAAGGGAUUUCGAUAGCCAACCACAGUCUGAAUAUCAUGGAAUAUAAGAAUACAAUUAAGCAUAGACUCCAAUGGAGCAUUGAAA